ensembl:snRNA U1 U1 spliceosomal RNA
AUACUUACCUGGCAAGGGAGACACCGUGAUCACCAAGGCGGUUCACCCAGGGCGAGGCUCGGCCAUUGCACUCCGGCUGUGCUGACCCCUGCGAAUUUCCCAAAUGUGGAAAUCUCGAUUGCAUAAUUUCUGGUAGUGGGGGACUGCGUUCGCGCUCUCCCCUG